rnacentral:pre_miRNA from 1 species
ACAACAUUCGAACCGUCGAUAUACCGAGCAAUAUCACCCGCUCGAUGAAAAAUCUUCCCUCAGUCGU